rnacentral:rRNA from 1 species
UACAGAGGGGGCGAGCGUUGUUCGGAAUUACUGGGCGUAAAGGGCGCGUAGGCGGCCGAUCAAGUCAGAUGUGAAAGUCCUGGGCUUAACCUGGGGACUGCAUUUGAUACUGAUUGGCUUGAAUGCAGGAGAGGAUAGCGGAAUUCCCAGUGUAGAGGUGAAAUUCGUAGAUAUUGGGAAGAACACCGGUGGCGAAGGCGGCUAUCUGGACUGUGAUUGACGCUGAGGCGCGAAAGCGUGGGGAGCAAACAGG